GGUUAAGCGACUAAGCGUACACGGUGGAUGCCCUGGCAGUCAGAGGCGAUGAAGGACGUGCUAAUCUGCGAUAAGCGUCGGUAAGGUGAUAUGAACCGUUAUAACCGGCGAUUUCCGAAUGGGGAAACCCAGUGUGAUUCGUCACACUAUCAUUAACUGAAUCCAUAGGUUAAUGAGGCGAACCGGGGGAACUGAAACAUCUAAGUACCCCGAGGAAAAGAAAUCAACCGAGAUUCCCCCAGUAGCGGCGAGCGAACGGGGAGCAGCCCAGAGCCUGAAUCAGUGUGUGUGUUAGUGGAAGCGUCUGGAAAGGCGCGCGAUACAGGGUGACAGCCCCGUACACAAAAAUGCACAUGCUGUGAGCUCGAU
rnacentral:rRNA from 1 species